GAUGAACGCUGGCGGCGUGCCUAAUACAUGCCAGUCGAGCGAACGGACGAGAAGCUUGCUUCUCUGAUGUUAGCGGCGGACGUGUGAGUAACACGUGGAUAACCUACCUAUAAGACUGGGAUAACUUCGGGAAACCGUAUCUAAUACCGGAUAAUCUUUUCAACCGCAUGGUUCAAAAGUGAAAGACGGUCUUGCUGUCACUUAUACAUGGAUCCGCGCUGCAUUAGCUAGUUGGUAAGGUAACGGCUUACCAAGGCAACUAUGCGUAGCCGACCUGAGAGGGUGAGCGGGCAACCGGGAACAGAGGCACGGUCAAGACUCCCACGGGAGGAAGGGAGAGGGAAUCUGCCGAAAUGGGCGAAAGCCUGACGGAGCAACGCCGCGUGAGUGAUGAAGGUCUUCGGAUCGUAAAACUCUGUUAUUAGGGAAGAAAAUAUGUGUAAGUAACUGUGCACAUCUUGACGGUACCUAAUCAGAAAGCCACGGCUAACUACGUG
rnacentral:rRNA from 1 species